CAUCCUCUUUCCGACUUUCGUUCAUACAUUGCUAAGUGCUAACGAGACAUGAAUUUGUGAAAUUGUAGCCUGACUUCGAGGCGGCCUACGUGGCCGCUCAUCAAGAAUAUCAGGUGGCCUUCAACCAGCACCAGCAGCAGUUCAUGGAGUACAUGGCAUAUAUACAUGCGUCGUUUGUGGGCAAUCAAACUGGACAGACAGUGGAUUUAGGGCCGAUGCCUCCCUUUCCGGGGCCGGCGCCAAACAUGCCAUCGAAGGAAAAUUUCGCUGCGGAGUACUAUGGGAGAACAACGGGAACGGGAUGUUCCGGAAACCAGGGUGGUGGGAGGGACAUGACACCGGUUCAUCAUGGUGGUCCUUCUCCCGGUGCUACACCCGGUACUUCUCCCGGUACUUCU